rnacentral:rRNA from 1 species
GACGAACGCUGGCGGCGUGCCUAAUACAUGCAAGUCGUGCGGACCUUUUAAAAGCUUGCUUUUAAAAGGUUAGCGGCGGACGGGUGAGUAACACGUGGGCAACCUGCCUGUAAGACUGGGAUAACGCCGGGAAACCGGGGCUAAUACCAGAUCGUUUUUUCCUCCGCAUGGAGGAAAAAGGAAAGGCGGCUUCGGCUGCCACUUACAGAUGGGCCCGCGGCGCAUUAGCUAGUUGGCGGGGUAACGGCCCACCAAGGCAACGAUGCGUAGCCGACCUGAGAGGGUGCUCGGCCACAUUGGGACUGAGACACGGCCCAAACUCCUACGGGAGGCAGCAGUAGGGAAUCUUCCGCAAUGGACGAAAGUCUGACGGAGCAACGCCGCGUGAGUGAAGAAGGCCUUCGGGUCGUAAAACUCUGUUGCCGGGGAAGAACAAGUGCCGUUCGAACAGGGCGGCGCCUUGACGGUACCCGGCCAGAAAGCCACGGCUAACUACGUG